ACCAGACUCCUACGGGAGGCAGCAGUGGGGAAUAUUGCACAAUGGGGGAAACCCUGAUGCAGCAACGCCGCGUGAAGGAAGACGGUUUUCGGAUUGUAAACUUCUGUUCUUAGUGAAGAAUAAUGACGGUAGCUAAGGAGCAAGCCACGGCUAACUACGUGCCAGCAGCCGCGGUAAUACGUAGGGGGCAAGCGUUAUCCGGAUUUACUGGGUGUAAAGGGAGCGUAGACGGCUGCGCAAGUCAGAAGUGAAAGCCCGGGGCUCAACCGCGGGACUGCUUUUGAAACUGUGUAGCUAGAGUGCAGGAGAGGUAAGUGGAAUUCCUAGUGUAGCGGUGAAAUGCGUAGAUAUUAGGAGGAACACCGGUGGCGAAGGCGGCUUACUGGACUGUAACUGACGUUGAGGCUCGAAAGCGUGGGGAGCAAACAGGAUUAGAUACCCCUGUACU
rnacentral:rRNA from 1 species